AAGACUAGGAACCAAACAGAGUUCCACUCACCUGCAUCAACAUGGGGAAGGGUCCUCCUUGUCUGCAGGUGGCUAAGGAGGCUCAGAGCCAGGAGUUGGCUUGCGCAAGCCUGCCUGCCUUGGAACCCAGGGGUGUCUGAUGACAGAGUGUGGGCUCCUCCCAGCUCCAACCUGGCUUACUCCUCAGAGGAGAGGUGGGGUAUCCAGGGAGGGUGAAGGGGUGGGGUAUCCAGGGAAGCAUCCCCCUGUUGCCACCUGAGUUAGUCUUGGAGACCUUCAAACUCUGCUGUUUCAGGAACGGCUAAACUCACCUCAUAUUCUAAUGUGCCAGACAGACUCUCUCUCUUAAUCUUCAGGGCUAUCCUAUGAAGGACAAAUUGAGACAGUCCCAUUUUACAGAUGAAAAAAGAGAGGCUCAGAGGAAUGAAAUGGCUCCACGCCAAGAACAGGCAACUAACGGUGAGGGAAUAAGUGUUCGGGUCCCCUAAACUUCAUUGUUGAAAUCCUAAUCCCUAAGGAGAUGUUAUUAGAAGGGAGCAUGUUUAGGAGGUGAUGAGGUUAUGAGGGUGGAGCCCUCAUGCAUGCAAUUGGUGCUUUUGCAAAAGAAGCCCGAGAGAGAGGACCCUGCCCCCACCACCAUGUGAGGACACAGCAAGAAGACCCCAUUUAUGAAUCAGAAAAUCCACUCUCACCGGACACCAAAUCUGUCAGUACCCAGGUCCUGGACUUGCCAGCCUCAGAACUCACAGAGCUCCUAAAAUUCUUGUAACUUCCUGAGUGAGGAGGAACACAGAAGACCAGCAUUAUAGUUAAAAUAGACGUCGUAAGAUUGACAAAACAGACUCUUUGUGAUGAUAAGAUACCAAAUUACAUACAAGACCUAAGGCAAGUGUUAAGUCACUUCUAAGGGCCAUCAAUCUUGCUACAUCCCUCAUCCUUAUCUUAAAACAUUCUUUUUUGCAGACUCCAGGUUUUGCAGACUCCAGGUUUUAAGCAGACCUUACUCCUUUAACCAACUGCAAAUUAAAGAAGCCCUGAAUCCAUCUGUAACCUGUCAGCCCGCCCCUCUUCAAGAUAUUCUGCCUUUUCAGGCCAAACCAAUGUAUGUCUUCCAUGUACUGAUUUAUGACUUUGCCUGUAACUCCUUCCUCCCUAAAAUGCAUCAAAUCAAUUUUUACUUUAAGUUCUGGGAUACAUGGGCAGAAUGUGCAGGUUUGUUACAUAGGUAUAUGUGUGCCAUGGUGGUUUGCUGCACCAUCGUCUAGGUUUUAAGCCCUGCAUGCAUUAGGUAUUUGUCCUAAUACUCUCCCUCCCUUAUCUCCCACACCCCCUCCCUUGACAGGCUCCGGUGUGUGAUGUUCCCCUCCCUGUGUCCAUGUGUUCUCAUUGUUCAACUCAUGAUCGCAUGAGUGAGA